ensembl:lncRNA
AAAUUAAACUGCUAUUUUUUUAAAAGCACCCAAUACAAAAGGAAUCAAGAUACUUUAUUAACUUAAUAAAAUGCACAUAUCUCAGCCCCAAGCCAGCAUCUAACCUAAUAAAAAAAUGCUGGAGAUAUUUCCUAAAGUCAGACCAAGACAAGGUUAUUUGCCAUUAUACUACUGUUCAGUAAUGACCUGGGAUAUUAGGCAACAUAAUUGUAUAUGAGAAAGUGAUUAUGUAAAAUCAUAAUAAUAUUAUUAAUAUGUUAAAUUAUUGACUUGUAUAAGAGAAAGAUAUAACAUUAUAUAGGAGACAGGUGUAAAAAUUGUAAAUGAGGAUGCAGAGCUAUACUAUUUGCAGAUGGUAUGAUCAUAUACCUGGAAUACCCAAGAAACUUGGCUAAAAAACUAUAUACAAUAAGAUAGUUUAGGAAGAUGCUUUAUAUUAAUAUACUUUUAAAAAGGCUUCAUGAUACAAAUAUCCAUUUAGAGGAUAAAGUUGAAAAAAACAUUACAAUGGUAUAAAAAAGUGAAUAUUUGGAAAUAAACACUACAAAAAAUGUGAGAGACAUAUGAAGAAACAGUCCUUAUUAACACAAAGUACACUUGAAACAAAUGUGAAGACGAGUCAGGUACUGAGGGACGCGUAACAACACAUACAGGGUAGUUUGCAAAUUUAACAACAUCCUCACCCUCUAAAAAAACACCACCAGGUUUUGUUGUUCUUCCCUCUCCGCAUUGGAGAAGGAAAUGGCAACCCACUCCAGUGUUCUUGCCUGGAGAAUCCCAGGGACCGGGGAGCCUGGUGGGCUGCCAUCUACGGGGUCGCACAGAGUUGGACACAACUGAAGCGACUUAGCAGCAGCAGCCUCUCUGCCCAAACUUAACAAGCUAAUUCGAGUCAUUUGGGAAUUUAUGGCAAGUGUAGCCAGAGGAAAAUCACUGAUGGGGAGAUUAUAUAUAUCAGAUACUGAAGCAAACUACAAACUUUGAGAAUUGUGCCAUUCUGGGAAUUUAGUUACCUAUGGGGAUUUAGUAUAUGAUCAAAGUGGCUUCUCAAAUCAGUGGGGGAGAAAUGGAAGACAGUAAGUGAUAGUGAGGUUCUAGAGCAGCAGGUUAAAAUCCUCUGUCCAUGGGAUUUUCCAGGGCACAGCAAGAGACAACACACCUACAAGCCUAGUCUUUCUGUGAAGGAGGCCUAUUAACUAAUCGUGAUUGUGGCCUGAGGGGCAGGCUUCUAAUUAAACUUGCAUCUUGAGGCACACAGCAAUCCUUUUCAGAGACCUCAGAGGACAGUUCCAUCCUAAUGUUCAUCCUCUGCCAUGCUCUUGAGCACCAGUGUCUCUUGGAGGGGAGCUUGUCAUUUGUCUGGUGCCUUGGCCUUUGUGUCUGGUGCCCCCGUUUUUGUAGCUGCUGCCCAAUGGACACCCUUUGAUUGCCUGGCUUUGGUGACUGAAGAGGCUUUCUUUCCAGGGUUGCUUUGUACUAUGGAAGUUUGACAGAAAAUUUUUGGCUGGCUAUCACCACCAGGGCUAUGCACAGACAGCAGACUGAGGUAUAGUCCUCAGUCUUUCUGUGAAGGCCCCUUUGCUUAUCUUGGAGAUUCAUCCUGAGGGGGAGGCUUCAGAUUUAGCACCUUUAGUGACCUAAAAACCUGCUCGCAAGGAAUGAGGCUUGUGGACAUCAUCUUGUUGCUUCCAAGAGCAGUACCAUCUUGGCUCUCCCUCUUUAUUUCUCCAGCUCACUGGUGUCAUCCAGAAAAGAGCUUCUACAUUUGUUUGAAGACCUGAUUAUUGUGACUACUGACCAAUGGACACCUCCAGAUUGCUUGUCUCUGGUGGCCAGUGGGACUUACAAAACUUGCAGUUCUACAGAUCUGUAUAUAUUUGAAAACCAUUAAAAUCUGAUGUUUAAGGGUCUGGCUUCUUGUCAGCCUGAAUAUAGUGCUGAGAUCCUCUCCUUUGGGGCACUGACAGGUACUGGCACAUCCUCAGUUACUGGGAGUCGCUGAACACGUAGUAGGCUGCUUGGACAAACACAAAGGUUUGAGAAACAAUCGAGACUUGAGGCAGGGCUGAAUGUCAAGCUUCAUCUGCUAUACAUGGUCAUUCCUUCGAGACUGGGAGAGGU